UAGAUGCGUGAUGAUGCCUAUCCAUUAAAUUCUGACAUCAUUGUUAAUAUGAUGAUCUCAAAAACAUGCACUACCAUCUGAUUCCUC
rfam:Jatropha curcas cultivar GZQX0401 scaffold734_44, whole genome shotgun sequence.